GAUGAACGCUGGCGGCGUGCCUAAUACAUGCAAGUCGAGCGAACGGACGAGAAGCUUGCUUCUCUGAUGUUAGCGGCGGACGGGUGUGUAACACGUGGAUAACCUACCUAUAAGACUGGGAUAACUUCGGGAAACCGGAUCUAAUACCGGAUAAUCUUUUGAACCGCAUGGUUCAAAAGUGAAAGACGGUCUUGCUGGCACUUAUAGAUGGAUCCGCGCUGCAUUAGCUAGUUGGUAAGGUAACGGCUUUCCACGGCAACGAUGCAUAGCCGACCUGAGAGGGUGAUCGGCGACACUGGAGCUGAGACGCGGUCCAGGGGCCUACGGGAGGCAGCAGUAGGGAAUCUGCGGCAAUGGGCGAAAGCCUGACGGAGCAACGCCGCGUGAGUGAUGAAGGUCUUCGGAUCGUAAAAAUCUGUUAUGAGGGAAGAACAUAUGUGUAAGUAGCUGAGCACAUCGUGACGGUACCUAAUCAGAAAGCCACGGCUAACUACGUG
rnacentral:rRNA from 1 species